rnacentral:rRNA from 1 species
UCGCCUGUUUAUCAAAAACAUAGCCUACUAUUUAACUUAGGUACAACCCUGCCCUCUGACUUUUAACAGCCGCGGUAUCCUAACCGUGCUAAGGUAGCAUAAUCACUUGCCUAUUAAUUAUAGGCUAGAAUGAACGGGAUCACUCACUUAAACUUAUUUUUAUUUAAAUUUAAAUUAAACUUUAAGUCAAAAUACUAAAUUAAAAAGAAAGACAAAAAGACCCUGAAAACUAUUAGAAAUAAUUAGUUGGGGCAACUAUAGACCACUCUAGCGUCUAUUUUUUUUAACUCUUAAAAUCUAAAGUAUCCAGUUACUUCAGGGAUAACAGACUAAUUUUAUUAUUUAGACCCAAUAAAUAAUAAAGAUUGGCACCUCGAUGUUGGCUUAUAUUUCCUUCAUAUAGCAACAUAUAUAGAAGGCAGCUUGUUCAUCUGUUAAAUAUUUACAUGAGCUGAGUUCAGACCGGCGUAAGC